UACGUAGGGGGCUAGCGUUGUCCGGAAUCAUUGGGCGUAAAGAGCGUGUAGGCGGCCCGGUAAGUCCGCUGUAAAAGUCAAAGGCUCAAACCUUUGAAUGUCAGUGGAUACUGCCGGGCUAGAGUCCGGAAGAGGCGAGUGGAACUCCUGGUGUAGCGGUGGAAUGCGCAGAUAUCAGGAGGAACACCGGUGGCGAAGGCGGGUCUCUGGGCCGAUACUGACGCUGAGGAGCGAAAGCGUGGGGAGCGAACAGG
rnacentral:rRNA from 1 species